GACACUUUGGCCGAGUGGUUAAGGCGAUGCCCUGCUAUCUGAUAUGCGGUGAAAAGGCAUUACAUUCGUGUGCGUAGGUUCGAAUCCUGCAGGUGUCG